ACCAUUUUAAACCAACUUUGAACCCACAAUAAUAUCACAUAAAAUUCAGAAUCAAAAUCUACCUAAGAGUGAACCAAAAAACUUGAAUACCCAACAGAUUCCGCUAAUUUUAAACCUUCAAUUGAUCAGAAUUUCUCAUAGAAUGAGUACCAAGAGAAUUAUCAACUAUUUUUAAUGUAGUAUUUUUGUAUUUUUGUUUUAG
rnacentral:lncRNA from 1 species